rnacentral:tRNA from 1 species
UCUCUGGUAGUUUAGUGCUUAGGAGUCAGCGCUUUCACUGCUGUGGCCCAGGUUCAAUCCCUGGUUGGAGAA